GACGACCGCUGGCGGCGUGCCUAAUACAUGCAAGUAGGACGCAGUUGCGAACGGGUGAGUAACGCGUAGGUAACUCCCUCUUAGAGGGGGAUAACUAUUGGAAACGAUAGCUAAUACCGCAUACUAGUAGAUGGACCUGCGUUGUAUUAGCUAGUAGGUAGGGUAAAGGCCUACCAAGGCAACGAGCCAUAGCCGACCUGAGAGAGGGAUCGGCCACACUGGGACUGAGACACGGCCAAGAAGCCUACGGGAUGCAGCAGUAGGGAAUCUUCGGGAAGGUGGGGAACCCUGACCGAGCAACGCCGCGUGAGGGAAGAAGGUUGUCGGAUCGUAAAGAUCUGUAGUUAAGAAAGCGGUACUUAACCAGAAAGGGACGGCUAACUACGUGCCAGCCGCCGCGGGAAUAC
rnacentral:rRNA from 1 species